rnacentral:rRNA from 1 species
AAGUACUACGGAGCACGCGAAAUUCCGUAGGAAUCCGCCCUGACCACAGGGCAAGGCUAAAUACUCUAGUUCGACCGAUAGUGCACAAGUACCGUGGGGGAAAGGUGAAAAGAACCCCAGUGAGGGGAGUGAAAUAGAACCUGAAUUCAUAGACUUACAAGCGGUCGGAGCCCUAUGUCACGCGCAAGCGUGAAACGGGUGACGGCGUGCCUUUUGCAUAAUGAACCGGCGAGUUAUACAGAUAAGCAAGCUUAAUCCUCUUUAGGGGAGGAGGCGUAGGGAAACCGAGUCUGAAUAGGGCGAUCAGUUUGUCUGUAUAGACCCGAAGCUGAGUGAUCUACCCAUGACCAGUGCGAAGUGUUCCGAAAGGAACAUGGAGGUACGAACCCAUGAACGUUGAAAAGUUCCGGGAUGAGUUGUGGGUCGGAGUGAAAGGCUAAUCAAACUCAGGAAUUGCUGGUUCUCCUCGAAACGUCUUUAGGGACGGCCUUGAGCAAAUGAGCGAUAAGUGUAGAGUGCUGAAUGGGCUAGGGACACCACCAGGUUGCCAAACCCAACCAAACUCCGAAUAUUAUCGUUUCUUAUCUCGGGAGACAGACAGUGCGGGCUAAGCUGCAUUGUCAAAAGGGAGACAGCCCAGACCGCCAGCUAAGGUCCCAAAGGAUAGACUAAGUGGUAAAGGAUGUGGGGUAACAUAGACAACCAGGAUGUUGGCUCAGAGGCAGCCAUCAUUUAAAGAGUGCGUAACAGCUCACUGGUCGAGUUAUUCUGCGCCUAAGAUAAUCGGGGCUCAAGUCUAUUACCGAAGCUGCGGAUUUACCCCGCCUUAGGGCGGGGCAAGUGGUAGAGGAGCGUACUGUUGUAGGUUGAAGGUGGACCGAGAGGACCACUCGACGAAGCAGUAGUGAUUAUGUCGGUAUGAGUAGCGCAAAUCACGGCGAGAAACCGUGACGCCGAAAGUCUAAGGUUUCCUGGGGAAGGUUAAUCCGCCCAGGGUGAGUCGAUCCUAAGCCGAGGCUGUUGAACGCGUAGGCGAUGGAUAUCCGGUUAAUAUCCCGGAACUGGGCAAAGGCGCUAUUACUUUGAUGUUGACGCAGGAGGUUGGGGUCAGCGGACUGUUGGAUGUGUCCGUCUAAGCCUGUAGUUUUAUCCGCAAGGGUAAGAUGAGGGGUGAAUGCGAAGCCGAUCUACGGAAAGGCUGAAGUGAUCUUAGGCCACACUGUCGAGAAAAUUCAUCAAAGGAGCUUUUGUCCAAUCGUACCGCAAUCCGACACAGGUAGACUUCCAUAAUAUGGUAAGGCGAUCGAGAGAACCCUCGUUAAGGAACUCGGCAAUCUAGCCUCGUAAGUUCGCAAGAAGAGGUGCCCUAAUGUGUGUAGCCCAUACGGGUCAAGCAUGCUAGGGUUUCAAUGAAGUGGCUCUGGUGACUGUUUAGCAAAAACCAAGCACUCUGCUAACUCGAAAGAGGACGUAUAGGGUGUGACACCUGCCCGGUGCUGGAAGGUUAAGGAGAGAGGUUAGCGGGAGCAAUCCACGCGAAGCUUCUAACCGAAGCCCCAGUAAACGGCGGCCGUAACUAUAACGGUCCUAAGGUAGCGAAAUUCCUUGUGGGGUAAGUUCCCACGCGCACGAAUGGUGUAACAACUGGAGCGCUGUCUCAACGAGGGACUCGGCGAAAUUGUGGUGACAGUGAAGACGCUGUCUACCCGCACUUGGACGAAAAGACCCCGGAACCUUUACUCUACUCUGGUAUUGAAUUUUGAUCCGAUAUGUGUAGGAUAGGUGGGAGACUUUGAAGCCUGGGCGCUAGCUCGGGCAGAGUCGUCGGUGAAAUACCACCCUUAUUUUAUUAAGAUUCUAACCCCUUGCCGUGAAUCCGGCAGGGGAACAGUGCCAGACGGGGAGUUUGACUGGGGCGGUUUCCUCCUAAAAGAUAACGGCGGAGCCCAAUGCUAACCUCAAGACGGUCGGCAAUCGUCUGUCGAGUGUAAAGGCAUAUGGUUGGUUAACUGUGAUCCCGACAGGGAGAACAGGUGCGAAAGCAGGGCUUAAUGAUCCGGUACUAGUUUGUGGGAAUGGUAUCGCUCAACGAAUAAAAGGUACUCUGGGGAUAACAGGCUUAUCGCGCUCGAGAGUUCAUAUCGACAGCGCGGUUUGGCACCUCGAUGUCGGCUCAUCCUAUCCUGGGGCUGGAGAAGGUCCCAAGGGUCCGGCUGUUCGCCGGUUAAAAGGGUACGUGAGUUGGGUUCAGAACGUCGUGAGACAGUUCGGUCUCUAUCCAGUGUGGGCGUUAGGAAGUUUGAAGGGAGUUGUCCUUAGUACGAGAGGACCAGGACAAACGAACCUCUGGUGUUCCAGCUGUCCUGCCAAGGGCAAAGGCUGGGUAGUCAUGUUCGGAAGAGAUAAGCGCUGAAGGCAUAUAAGCGCCAAGCUCGCCUUAAGAAUAGACUUCCCUCUUGUAGCAAUACAAGAAUAGACACCCGGAAGACCACCGGGUUGAUAGGUCCUAAGUGUAAGACCCGUAAGGGUUUCAGCUUAAAGGAUACUAAUUGUCAAUCGGCUUGACCGC